rnacentral:rRNA from 1 species
GACGGGGGGGACAAGCGUUAUUCUUCAUGACUGGGCGUAAAGGGUGUGUAGGCUGUCUAUUAAGUUAAAAUUAAAAGCCCAAAGUCUAACUUUGGAAAAGGUUUUAAAACUAAUGGACUGGAGUGUCUCAGAGGAUAGUAGAAUUUUUAGAGGAGUGAUGAAAUAUGAAGAUACUAAAAGGAACACCAAAGGCGAAGGCAACUAUCUGGGAGAACACUGACGCUGAAACACGAAAGUAUGGGGAGCAAACAGG